UACGUAGGGGGCAAGCGUUGUCCGGAAUCAUUGGGCGUAAAGAGCGUGUAGCGGCCCGGUAAGUCCGCUGUAAAAGUCAAAGGCUUAACCUUUGAAUGUCAGUGGAUACUGCCGGGCUAGAGUCCGGAAGAGGCGAGUGGAACUCCUGGUGUAGCGGUGGAAUGCGCAGAUAUCAGGAAGAACACCAACGGCGAGGGCAGCUCGCUAGGACGGUACUGACGCUGAGACGCGAAAGCGUGGGGAGCGAACAGG
rnacentral:rRNA from 1 species